rnacentral:misc_RNA from 1 species
AAAGUCGUAACAAGGUUUCCGUAGGUGAACCUGCGGAAGGAUCAUUACUGAUUUGGCGAACCGAGCGUCUAGCGAGGUUUCGCGAUCAACUUAUAUUUAAAACCCACACUUUGAAUUUUAUAUAUAUUUUUUUUAAUAAAAAAAAAGAUCACUUUCAACAACGGAUCUCUUGGCUCUC